GACGAACGCUGGCGGCGUGCCUAAUACAUGCAAGUCGAGCGGACGAAUCGAAAGCUUGCUUUUGAUUCGUUAGCGGCGGACGGGUGAGUAACACGUGGGCAACCUGCCCUGUAGACGGGGAUAACACCGAGAAAUCGGUGCUAAUACCGGAUAACACGAAAUGUCGCAUGACGUUUCGUUGAAAGACGGCGCAAGCUGUCGCUACAGGAUGGGCCCGCGGCGCAUUAGCUAGUUGGUGAGGUAACGGCUCACCAAGGCGACGAUGCGUAGCCGACCUGAGAGGGUGAUCGGCCACACUGGGACUGAGACACGGCCCAGACUCCUACGGGAGGCAGCAGUAGGGAAUCUUCCGCAAAGGACGAAAGUCUGACGGAGCAACGCCGCGUGAGCGAAGAAGGCCUUCGGGUCGUAAAGCUCUGUUGUUAGGGAAGAACAAGUAACGCAGUAACUGGCGUUACCGUGACGGUACCUAACGAGAAAGCCACGGCUAACUACGUG
rnacentral:rRNA from 1 species